rnacentral:tRNA from 2 species
GGGCCGGUAGCUCAGCCUGGUUAGAGCAGCGGGCUCUUAACCCGCAGGUCCGGGGUUCGAAUCCCCGCCGGCCCGCCA